CAGAGCUCCAGGAGCCUGCUCCAGCUCCUGCUCCUGCUGCCUGUGGCUCUCCAGGUUUGUAGGUUUGGGUCCUGCAAAAAUGGACCCUUUUGGCUCAGCUGAAAUUCAGCAGCUGUUCCCAUCUGUGCCACGUGUACCAGCACAGCCCCAGCCUGGAGCAGGACACUGCCCUGGGGGAAGUACCAGCAAAGCCAUGUGUGUCUGCCUAACUCUGCCUUGCCUGGCUGCUGCAUGUCCCAGAGCAAUGGGAGCAGGAACACCAUGGAUGGAGGAUGUGGCUUGGUGGAUUGUUCCUGAAGAAG